rnacentral:lncRNA from 1 species
GGUCGAAUCCUAUGGUAACUGGAUGUAGAAAUUUUAUUGAUGUUUUUAGAUUUUUGGCCCGACUAGAUAUUAAAUUCGAGGUUGACAUCUUCAUCGCUAAGAUCAAUUGUUCAUAAACUUCAUCUUGGACCAAGUUCACAUUAACAUGUUGGUUUGAUUCCUUUUCCAGGUUGAAUAUUGUUGGGGGAUAUUUCCUCCUUGGGCUGAAGACAGAGGCAAGCGGCUAGUUGUGGGCUGAUGAACGCUGUAAAAUGGUCCGUUCC